rnacentral:rRNA from 1 species
ACACAUGCAAGUCGAGGGGCAGCAUGGUCUUAGCUUGCUAAGGCCGAUGGCGACCGGCGCACGGGUGAGUAACACGUAUCCAACCUGCCGUCUACUCUUGGACAGCCUUCUGAAAGGAAGAUUAAUACAAGAUGGCAUCAUGAGUCCGCAUGUUCACAUGAUUAAAGGUAUUCCGGUAGACGAUAGGGAUGCGUUCCAUUAGAUAGUAGGCGGGGUAACGGCCCACCUAGUCUUCGAUGGAUAGGGGUUCUGAGAGGAAGGUCCCCCACAUUGGAACUGAGACACGGUCCAAACUCCUACGGGAGGCAGCAGUGAGGAAUAUUGGUCAAUGGGCGAGAGCCUGAACCAGCCAAGUAGCGUGAAGGAUGACUGCCCUAUGGGUUGUAAACUUCUUUUAUAAAGGAAUAAAGUCGGGUAUGCAUACCCGUUUGCAUGUACUUUAUGAAUAAGGAUCGGCUAACUCCGUGCCAGCAGCCGCGGUAAUACGGAGGAUCCGAGCGUUAUCCGGAUUUAUUGGGUUUAAAGGGAGCGUAGAUGGAUGUUUAAGUCAGUUGUGAAAGUUUGCGGCUCAACCGUAAAAUUGCAGUUGAUACUGGAUAUCUUGAGUGCAGUUGAGGCAGGCGGAAUUCGUGGUGUAGCGGUGAAAUGCUUAGAUAUCACGAAGAACUCCGAUUGCGAAGGCAGCCUGCUAAGCUGCAACUGACAUUGAGGCUCGAAAGUGUGGGUAUCAAACAGGAUUAGAUACCCUGGUAGUCCACACGGUAAACGAUGAA